UAGAUUAUGUGGUUAUUAUAGCAAGGAGGAUACACCUGUUCCCAUUCCGAACACAGAAGUUAAGCUCCUGAGCGCUGAUGGUACUUGGUGGGCAACCGCCUGGGAGAGUAAGACGUAGCCACGU
rnacentral:rRNA from 1 species